AUGUCAUCGACGAGAGCGCGGCGGAGCGGCGGCCGGCAGUUCGCGGUGGGCGGCCGGUGGCGGCACGUGGCCGUGGUGGACACGGGGUGCGGGUGCCGCCCGCGCCGGCCGAGGCUGCCGCUCAUGAGCCUGCCCUCCUUCCUCCGGCCGUCGGUCACCAGAAGCGGCAGCAGCUCCCGCUCGUCGUCCUUAUUCCCCUCCUCCGCCUCCACCGCGUCGUCUGCCUCCGCCGCCACCUACUCCUCGUACUCCUCCUCCGGUAACUAUGCCAACUACCCCGCCUCCGCCCACGUCUACAAGCACCACCAGGAGCCUGCAGUGCCCUACGGGGUCACGGCCAAGGCGUCGGCGCCGGUUGCGAGGAACAAGGUGGGCAGCAAGGCGAAGAAGAGGCGCGAGAAGAUGGCAGCGGCGGCCGAGGUGGAAGAGGAGGAGGACGUCGGGGUGGCGGUAGAGAAGGAGUCGUCGGACCCCCGGGCCGACUUCCGUGACAGCAUGGUGCAGAUGGUGGUGGAGAUGGGGCUCUGCGACUGGGACGGCCUCCGCUGCAUGCUUCGCCGCCUGCUCGCCCUCAACGCGCCGCGCCACCACGCCGCCAUCCUCGCUGCCUUCGCCGAGGUCUGUGCCCAGCUCGCCUCGGAGCCUCGCCCGCCGCCGCCUCCGGCGUAUCAAUACGACUACUACUACUGA
rnacentral:rRNA from 1 species